GACGAACGCUGGCGGCGUGCCUAAUACAUGCAAGUCGAGCGCGGAAGGCGGGUACUUGUGCCCACGGGAUGAGCAGCGGAGGGGUGAUUAACGCGUGGUGAAUCUGCCUCUCAGCGGGGGACAAUAUUUCGGAACGAAUUCUACUACCGCAUAAUAUCUUUAAACUCAAGUUGCAAGUGUUAAAUAUGCAAUUGCAUCACUUAAAGAUGAUCCCGCGUUGUAUUAGCUAGUUGGUGAGGUAGAGGCUCACAAAGGGGAGGAUCCAUAGCCGCCCUGAGAGGGGGCGCGGCCAAAUUGGGACGGAGACACGGCCCACACUCCUGCGAGAGGCAGCAGUAGGGAACCUUUGGCGAAGGAAGAAAGUCUGACUGAGCAACGACGGGCGAGUGAAGGAGGUUGUCAGGUCGUAAAACUCAGUUGGUAGAGAAGAACGCUGAGGAGAGUGGAAAGCGCAGAAAGUGACGGUACCUACAGAGAAAGCGACGGCUAACUACGUG
rnacentral:rRNA from 1 species